ACUGGGCGUAAAGCGCACGCAGGCGGUCUGUCAAGUCGGAUGUGAAAUCCCCGGGCUCAACCUGGGAACUGCAUUCGAAACUGGCAGGCUUGAGUCUUGUAGAGGGGGGUAGAAUUCCAGGUGUAGCGGUGAAAUGCGUAGAGAUCUGGAGGAAUACCGGUGGCGAAGGCGGCCCCCUGGACAAAGACUGACGCUCAGGUGCGAAAGCGUGGGGAGCAAACAGGAUUAGAUACCCUGGUAGUCCACGCCGUAAACGAUGUCUACUUGGAGGUUGUGCCCUUGAGGCGUGGCUUCCGGAGCUAACGCGUUAAGUAGACCGCCUGGGGAGUACGGCCGCAAGGUUAAAACUCAAAUGAAUUGACGGGGGCCCGCACAAGCGGUGGAGCAUGUGGUUUAAUUCGAUGCAACGCGAAGAACCUUACCUGGUCUUGACAUCCACGGAAGUUUUCAGAGAUGAGAAUGUGCCUUCGGGAACCGUGAGACAGGUGCUGCAUGGCUGUCGUCAGCUCGUGUUGUGAAAUGUUGGGUUAAGUCCCGCAACGAGCGCAACCCUUAUCCUUUGUUGCCAGCGGUUAGG
rnacentral:rRNA from 1 species